rnacentral:rRNA from 1 species
AUUGAACGCUGGCGGCAGGCCUAACACAUGCAAGUCGAGCGGAGCGGCGGACGGGUGAGUAAUGCCUAGGAAUCUGCCUGGUAGUGGGGGAUAACGUCCGGAAACGGGCGCUCAUACCGCAUACUCUCAGAUGAGCCUAUGUCGGAUUAGCUAGUUGGUUGGGGAAAGGCCUACCAAGGCGACGAUCCGUAACUGGUCUGAGAGGAUGAUCAGUCCCACGGUAACUGAGACACGGUCCAGACUCCUACGGGAGGCAGCAGGGGGGAAUAUUGGACAAUGGGCGAAAGCCUGAUCCAGCCAUGCCGCGUGUGGGAAGAAGGGCUUCGGAUUGGAAAGCACUUUAAGUUGGGAGGCGUUACCAACAGAAUAAGCACCGGCUAACUUCGUGCCAGCCGCCGCGGUAAUAC